GAUGAACGCUGGCGGCGUGCUUAACACAUGCAAGUCGAACGGUGAAGCAGGAGCUUGCUCCUGUGGAUCAGUGGCGAACGGGUGAGUAACACGUGAGAAAUCUGCCCUGGACUCUGGGAUAAGCGUUGGAAACGACGUCUAAUACCGGAUACGAGGCGUGGGGGCAUCCCCAACGCCUGGAAAGAACUUCGGUCCAGGAUGAGCUCGCGGCCUAUCAGGUAGUUGGUGAGGUAACGGCUCACCAAGCCUACGACGGGUAGCCGGCCUGAGAGGGUGACCGGCCACACUGGGACUGAGACACGGCCCAGACUCCUACGGGAGGCAGCAGUGGGGAAUAUUGCACAAUGGGCGCAAGCCUGAUGCAGCAACGCCGCGUGAGGGACGACGGCCUUCGGGUUGUAAAGCUCUGUCUUCAGGGACGAUAAUGACGGUACCUGAGGAGGAAGCCACGGCUAACUACGUGCCAGCCGCCGCAGUAAUAC
rnacentral:rRNA from 1 species